GACAGAGGAUGCAAACGUUGCUCGGAAUUACUGGGCGUAAAGCGCGUGUAGGCAGUCUGGUAAGUCGGACGUGAAAGCCCGGGGCUCAACCCCGGAAGUGCGCUCGAUACUGCCGGACUAGGGUUCUGAAGAGGAGAGCGGAAUUCCCCGGUGUAGAGGUGAAAAUUCGUAGAUAUCGGGAGGAACACCAGUGGCGAAGGCGGCUCUCUGGGCAGAUACCGACGCUGAGACGCGAAAGCGUGGGGAAGCAAACAGG
rnacentral:rRNA from 1 species